UUGACCGCUCAUAUGUGCUCGGAUUUGAGAGAUUUCAAUUUCUAUAUGCUCAGGAGAAAAUAUAGUUUAUUUGGAUAUUUUCAUAUCGAUUUAUGGAAUGUUAGAUGAUUUUAUAAUCGAUUUACGGAUUUAAUUGCGUAUAUUUAUAUUUAUUGAUUAAUUAUUUGACUUCCGUAAAACCGUCCACUCGUAACGAGGUAGCAAAUUUUCUUCCCGGAAGUUUCAACAAAACUCACCUUUAGCCUAAUUUGAAUAUUCCGGACACUUUUCGUGUUUUGACUUUUUCGAUCCGGAGUACGGUUUUUCCCGGAGUCGGUCCGGCGGAGUUUUGCGGGUAUUUGAAUUGUUGAUAAUUAUCCAGUUUGUCUCGAUAAGCGUGAAACAAGAUAUUUUGAUUAUUAUAUUCAUCCUUAUCUUGUAAUAAUUGCAAUGGGACCCGCAGACCAAUAAUUGAGUUAAAAAGCCCCGUUUUGAUGAUUAUCUCGAAAACCAGUACCGAUUGGACUCCGCUUUAUUAAUAUAAAGCUAUUAAAUACGUAUUUUCAUGUCAUAUACGAUCCAAAGGGGUACCAAUUAUUUGUAAAUAUAAAUAGACCUUUCUAGAGCUUAUUUUCACCCGGAAAAUCAUUUCACCAGUUUCUUUCCACGAAUACCGAGAGAAAUCGAGUGGUGUUCUUCGUGUUCUUCGUGUUCUUCAUAAUCAAACGAAGAUUUGAAGGUGUUAUUGGAGUCAGAAUCAAGCGUGCAAAUAGUCAAAUCGAAGAUAUCGAAGAGUAGAACCCAAAUCAAUCAUCAAAAACAACAUGAGAUUCACAGAAAGGCUUAAAGAUGAGAUGAUUGAUUGAGAUUGUGAAUAAGGCUAAUGCUAGGCGAGGAGACAGAGUUGAGGAUCCAGUGAUCGAGGAGUGUUCAGGGAAGUUGAUAAGGGUUGUGCUAGCCAGAGUUAUGCUAUGAAGAUUCAGAUGUAAGUCAUGGCUGGAGUAGGUUGACAGUGAUUCUUCUUAUCGAAGAUGAUCUGAUUUGGUAAGAGAAGUUGUGUAAUAUUAGUGGUGGAUUCUAAUUUCAAUACUGUAACCUGGAUGCGA